AGAGUUUGAUCAUGGCUCAGGAUGAACGCUAGCGGCAGGCUUAACACAUGCAAGUCGAGGGGUAACGAUGGUGCUUGCACUAGGCGACGACCGGCAAACGGGUGCGUAACACGUAUAUAACAUGCCCUACACAGGAGGAUAGCCCUUGGAAACGAGGAAUAAUACUCCAUGGUAUCGAGAUAUGGCAUCAUAUUUUGAUUAAAGAUUUAUUGGUGUAGGAUUGGUAUGCGCAUGAUUAGUUAGUUGGUGAGGUAACGGCUCACCAAGGCGACGAUCAUUAGGGGUCCUGAGAGGGAGAACCCCCACACUGGUACUGAGACACGGACCAGACUCCUACGGGAGGCAGCAGUGAGGAAUAUUGGGCAAUGGAGGCAACUCUGACCCAGCCAUGCCGCGUGCAGGAAUAAUGCCCUAUGGGUAGUAAACUGCUUUUGUAUAGGAAGAAUAAGAGCCACGUGUGACUCGAUGACGGUACUAUACGAAUAAGGAUCGGCUAACUCCGUGCCAGCAGCCGCGGUAAUACGGAGGAUUCAAGCGUUAUCCGGAUUCAUUGGGUUUAAAGGGUCUGUAGGCGGAUUUAUAAGUCAGUGGUGAAAUCCCGAGGCUCAAA
rnacentral:rRNA from 1 species